rnacentral:tRNA from 1 species
GGUGUAGUUCAGUUGGUUAGAGCGUCAGAUUGUGGUUCUGAAUGUCGUGGGUUCGAGUCCCACCAUC